CCUACGGGAGGCAGCAGUGAGGAAUAUUGGUCAAUGGACGAGAGUCUGAACCAGCCAAGUAGCGUGAAGGAUGACUGCCCUAUGGGUUGUAAACUUCUUUUAUAAAGGAAUAAAACGAGGCACGUGUGCCUUUUUGCAUGUACUUUAUGAAUAAGGAUCGGCUAACUCCGUGCCAGCAGCCGCGGUAAUACGGAGGAUCCGAGCGUUAUCCGGAUUUAUUGGGUUUAAAGGGAGCGUAGAUGGGUUGUUAAGUCAGUUGUGAAAGUUUGCGGCUCAACCGUAAAAUUGCAGUUGAUACUGGGAGUCUUGAGUACAGUUGAGGUAAGCGGAAUUCGUGGUGUAGCGGUGAAAUGCUUAGAUAUCACGAAGAACCCCGAUUGCGAAGGCAGCUUACUAAACUGUGACUGACAUUGAUGCUCGAAAGUGUGGGUAUCAAACAGGAUUAGAUACCCGAGUAGUC
rnacentral:rRNA from 1 species